rnacentral:rRNA from 1 species
AGCAGCCGCGGUAAUUCCAGCUCCAAUAGCGUAUAUUAAAGUUGUUGCAGUUAAAAAAGCUCGUAGUUGAAUUUCGGGAUCAAAUUGUCGGUCGUGCCUCGGUACGCACUGGCGUUAUUGGUUCCUCCCUUCUGAAGAACCGCGAUGUCAUUAAUUUGGUGUCGCGGGGAAUCAGGACUGUUACUUUGAAAAAAAUUAGAGUGUUUAAAGCAGGCUCGCGCUUGAAUACAUUAGCAUGGAAUAAUGAAAUAGGACGUUUGAUUCUAUUUUGUUGGUUUCUAGGAUCGACGUAAUGAUUAAUAGGGAUAGUUGGGGGCAUUAGUAUUCAAUUGUCAGAGGUGAAAUUCUUGGAUUUAUUGAAGACUAACUACUGCGAAAGCAUUUGCCAAGGAUGUUUUCUAUUAAUCAAGAACGAAAGUUAGGGGAUCGAAGACGAUCAGAUACCGUCGUAGUCUUAACCAUAAACUAUGCCGACUAGGGAUCGGAUGAUGUUAAUUUUUAAUGACUCAUUCGGCGCCUU